UACGUAGGUGGCAAGCGUUGUCCGGAAUUAUUGGGCGUAAAGCGCGCGCAGGCGGUCCUUUAAGUCUGAUGUGAAAGCCCACGGCUCAACCGUGGAGGGUCAUUGGAAACUGGGGGACUUGAGUGCAGGAGAGAAGAGUGGAAUUCCACGUGUAGCGGUGAAAUGCGUAGAGAUCGGCAGGAACACCCAGGGGGAAACCAGUCGACUGGGCAUCUACUGACGCUGAGGUGCGAGAGCGUGGGGAGCGAACCGG
rnacentral:rRNA from 1 species